UACGUAGGGGGCAAGCGUUGUCCGGAAUUAUUGGGCGUAAAGAGCGCGUAGGCGGUCCGAUAAGUCGGCUGUGAAAGUCAUGGGCUCAACCCAUGAAAGCCGGCCGAUACUGUCGGACUAGAGUCCGGAAGAGGCGAGUGGAAUUCCCGGUGUAGCGGUGAAAUGCGCAGAUAUCGGGAGGAACACCAAUGGCGAAGGCAGCUCGCUGGGACGUUACUGACGCUGAGACGCGAAAGCGUGGGGAGCAAACAGG
rnacentral:rRNA from 1 species